rnacentral:tRNA from 1 species
GUUCUCAUGGUGUAAUAAACACGUCGGAUUUUCGAUCCGAAUUUGGAGUAUUAAAUCUCUUGAGGAUA